rnacentral:rRNA from 1 species
GAUGAACGCUGGCGGCGUGCCUAACACAUGCAAGUCAGGGAGAAAGAGGUAGCAAUAUCUCGAGUAAACCGGCGAACGGGUGAGUAACACGUAGGUAACCUGCCCUCGAGUUGGGAAUAACUUCGAGAAAUCGAGGCUAAUACCGGAUAAUGCAACGAACCCGCAUGGGUUUGUUGUUAAAGUUCCGCGCAAGCGGAACGCUUGAGGAUGGACCUGCGGCCGAUUAGCUAGUUGGCGGAGUAACAAGCCCACCAAGGCGACGAUCGGUAGCCGACCUGAGAGGGU